UACGUAGGGGGCAAGCGUUGUCCGGAAUUAUUGGGCGUAAAGCGCGUGUAGGCGGCUCGGUAAGUCUGCUGUGAAAGUCCAAGGCUCAACCUUGGAAAGCCGGUGGAUACUGUCGAGCUCGAGUCCGGAAGAGGCGAGUGGAAUUCCUGGUGUAGCGGUGAAAUGCGCAGAUAUCAGGAGGAACAACAAUGGCGAAGGCAGCUCGCUGGGACGGUACUGACGCUGAGACGCGAAAGCGUGGGGAGCAAACAGG
rnacentral:rRNA from 1 species